rnacentral:lncRNA from 10 species
CAGAGCGAGCUUCGGAGAAGCAGUGGUGGGUUCCAUGUGAUGGUGGAGUAGGAGGCAGGUCUCCGCGCUACUUUGAAACAUAUGAUACAUUUGUGUUAAGGCUAGUCACCCUGCUGUGGAAUAGAAGGCCAGAAUUGAUCAGUCUCAUCUGAGAGUAACUUUGUACCCAUCACUGAUUCCUUCUGAGACUGCCUCCACUUCCCCAGCAGCCUCUGGUUUCUUCAUGUGGCUGCAGAUGGCAGGAUUUCCCAAAGGUUUCUGGCUGAAACAUAUUCCGUGGUGUAUCUGUACAGCAGUUUCCUCAUCCCUGCAGCUGUGUUUGAACAGGUCAUUUACCAUGCUGUCCUCCAGGUUCAACAGUAUGGCUCCAAAGGAUGAAAUUUCAUUCUGAUUUUCUGGCUGAAGACUAUUCUCUUUGUGUAUGUCCACCACAGUUACUUUAUCCCUUCAUCUGUGGAUGGGCAGUCUCGCUGUAUUGCCCAGGCUGGAGUGCAGUGGCAUGAUCUCAGCUCACUGCAAGCUCUGCUUCCUGGGUUCACGCCAUUCUCCUGCCUCAGCCUCCUGAGUAGCUGGGAUUACAGGCACCCGCCACCACGCCCAGGUAA